rnacentral:rRNA from 1 species
UAGGGAAUCUUCCACAAUGGACGAAAGUCUGAUGGAGCAACGCCGCGUGAGUGAAGAAGGGUUUCGGCUCGUAAAACUCUGUUGUUAAAGAAGAACCUAUCUGAGAGUAACUGUUCAGGUAUUGACGGUAUUUAACCAGAAAGCCACGGCUAACUACGUGCCAC